CUGCUAUUUGAGUUCAAAUUAGCCAUGCAAGUCAGGUCAGCAAUGGCCGGCGACAGGCUCAGUAACACGUCAAUAACUUACCUUUAGAUUAGGAAUAACCUUGGGAAACUGAGAUUAAUACCUAAUAGGAAAUUAGUUCUGGAAUGCCUUUUUUCUUAAAGCUUCGGCGUCUAAAGAUAGGUUGGCGGCGGAUUAGGUUGUUGGCGGGGUAAUGGCCCACCAAGCCCAAGAUCCGUAAGGGCCCUGAGAGGGGUAGCCCUGAGAAGGACACUGAGAUACUGGUCCUAGCCCUACGGGGUGCAGCAGGCGCGAAAACUUUACAAUGCACGAAAGUGUGAUAAGGGAACUCAAAGUGCUUAUACUUUGUAUAGGCUUUUUUCAAGAGUAAAAAUCUUGGAGAAUAAGUGGUGGGAAAGACUGGUGCCAGCCGCCGCGGUAAUACCAGCGCCACAAGUGGGAAUCACAAUUAUUGGGCCUAAAGCGUCCGUAGCUGGUUUAAUAAAUCUCUUGUGGAAUCAUUUGGCCUAACCAAAUGGCGAGCAGGAGACACUAUUAGACUUGGAACCGGGAGAAGUUAGGAGUAUUUUGAGGGGAGCGGUAAAAUGCUAUAAUCCUCAAAAGACUACCUGUGGCGAAGGCGCCUAACUAGAACGGAUUCGACAGUGAGGGACGAAAGCUAGGGGAGCGAUCCGGAUUAGAUACCCGAGUAGUCCUAGCCGUAAACGCUGUGAGCUAGGUGUUGCAUAUUCUUAUGGGAAUAUGCAGUGUCGAAGUGAAGAUGUUAAGCUCACCGCCUGGGAAGUAUGGUCGCAAGACUGAAACUUAAAGGAAUUGGCGGGGGAGCACCACAAGGGGUGCGGCGUGCGGUUUAAUCUAACUCAACGCAGAGAAUCUCACCAGAGGCGACGGCAGAAUGAAAGUCAUGCUAAAGACAUUACUUGACGAGCCGAGAGGUAGUGCAUGGCCGUCGUCAGCUCGUACCGUAAGGUGUCCUGUUAAGUCAGGCAACGAGCGAGACCUAUACUUAUAAUUGCUAACAGACUAUGGGACUGAGCACAUUAUAAGGACUGCCUUCGAAAGGAGGAGGAAGGUGUAGGCUACGGUAGGUCUGUAUGCUCCGAAUCCUCUGGGCAACACGCGCGCAACAAUGGUAAGGACAAUGGGAUACUACUCCGAAAGGAGACGUUAAACCUCUAAACCUUACCCUAGUUCAGAUUGAGGAUUGUAACUCAUCCUCAUGACGAUGGAAUCCCUAGUAAUUGGAUCUCAUCAUGGUCCAGUGAAUAUGUCCCUGCUCCUUGCACACACCGCCCGUCAAACCAACCGAGCAGGGUUUAGAUGAGUAUUAGCUUCUUGGCUAAUCCGAAUCUAAGCUCAGUAAGGUGGGUUAAGUCGUCACAAGGUA
rnacentral:rRNA from 1 species